GCGCGAAAACUUUACAAUGCUGGCAACAGCGAUAAGGGAACCUCGAGUGCCAGGUUACAAAUCUGGCUGUCGAGAUGCCUAAAAAGCAUUUCAUAGCAAGGGCCGGGCAAGACCGGUGCCAGCCGCCGCGGUAACACCGGCGGCUCGAGUGGUAACCGUUAUUAUUGGGUCUAAAGGGUCUGUAGCCGGCCGGAUAAGUCUCUUGGGAAAUCUGGCAGCUCAACUGUCAGGCUUUCAGGAGAUACUGUCUGGCUCGAGGCCGGGAGAGGUGAGAGGUACUUCAGGGGUAGGGGUGAAAUCUUGUAAUCCUUGAAGGACCACCAGUGGCGAAGGCGUCUCACCAGAACGGACCUGACGGCAAGGGACGAAGGCUAGGGGCACGAACCG
rnacentral:rRNA from 1 species